GAGCUUGCUCUUAUGAAGUUAGCGGCGGACGGGUGAGUAACACGUGGGUAACCUGCCCAUAAGACUGGGAUAACUCCGGGAAACCGGGGCUAAUACCGGAUAACAUUUUGAACCGCAUGGUUCGAAAUUGAAAGGCGGCUUCGGCUGUCACUUAUGGAUGGACCCGCGUCGCAUUAGCUAGUUGGUGAGGUAACGGCUCACCAAGGCAACGAUGCGUAGCCGACCUGAGAGGGUGAUCGGCCACACUGGGACUGAGACACGGCCCAGACUCCUACGGGAGGCAGCAGUAGGGAAUCUUCCGCAAUGGACGAAAGUCUGACGGAGCAACGCCGCGUGAGUGAUGAAGGCUUUCGGGUCGUAAAACUCUGUUGUUAGGGAAGAACAAGUGCUAGUUGAAUAAGCUGGCACCUUGACGGUACCUAACCAGAAAGCCACGGCUAACUACGUGCCAGCAGCCGCGGUAAUACGUAGGUGGCAAGCGUUAUCCGGAAUUAUUGGGCGUAAAGCGCGCGCAGGUGGUUUCUUAAGUCUGAUGUGAAAGCCCACGGCUCAACCGUGGAGGGUCAUUGGAAACUGGGAGACUUGAGUGCAGAAGAGGAAAGUGGAAUUCCAUGUGUAGC
rnacentral:rRNA from 1 species